UACAGAGGGUGCGAGCGUUAAUCGGAAUUACUGGGCGUAAAGCGUGCGUAGGUGGAUAUUUAAGUCGAAUGUGAAAUCCCUGGGCUUAACCUGGGAACUGCAUACGAUACUGGAUAUCUAGAGUAUGGUAGAGGAAAGUGGAAUUCCCGGUGUAACGGUGAAAUGCGUAGAUAUCGGGAGGAACAUCAGUGGCGAAGGCGACUUUCUGGACCAAUACUGACACUGAGGCACGAAAGCGUGGGGAGCAAACAGG
rnacentral:rRNA from 1 species